AUGGCGAAUCGGAUUCUUCUUCUUCAGCAUUUGUCAUCCUCCAGCUUUGCAAAAAAAGACCGUCGAAGAAAUCUUUCGUACAUCAUGCAAUCUUUUCGACAUAACCUAUUCCUCCGCUUUUUGUCUCCGGUUUAUCAAAACAAAAACAUAUUCUCUUCAUCUCGGGUUAUCGAAACAGAAAAACAUAUUCUCCGAAGAGAACAUAUAUCCAGACACACAGUUAAAUGGAACAGCAACAAAACAACAAAUGCCGAGUGCAUCGAGAUUCUUGCGCAAAGCUCGAACCAUGCAAACCGCAGACACGAACAAGCUCGAAUUCAGAGCCACAGGCAAUGCUUCUCCCUGUCUCAAGAUCCCACAGCCAGCACCCAAGACUCUUACCAGUUUUUAUUGGCGUAUGCCUGCCUGAAUCCUUUGAAUUUAGAGGGGGGGAAGGAGGAGCAACAGUUCCAUUCACAUCGUCCUCUCGCACGAUAA
rnacentral:rRNA from 1 species